UGCAGUCGUACGAGAACGCUCUAGCUUGCUAGGGCAAGUAAAGUGGCGCACGGGUGAGUAACGCGUGGGUAAUCUACCUUCGAAUUGGGGAUAACGUUGCGAAAGCGACGCUAAUACCGAAUAAUAUCCAUUAAUCUUAGGAUUUUUGGAUCAAGGGUGGCCUCUACAUGUAAGCUACUGUUUGAAGAUGAGUCCGCGUACCAUUAGCUUGUUGGUGGGGUAAUGGCCUACCAAGGCAACGAUGGUUAGCUGGUCUGAGAGGAUGAUCAGCCACACUGGAACUGACACACGGUCCAGACUCCUACGGGAGGCAGCAGUGAGGAAUUUUGCGCAAUGGGCGAAAGCCUGACGCAGCAACGCCGCGUGAGUGAUGAAGGCUUUCGGGUCGUAAAGCUCUGUCAAGUGGGAAGAACCUAUAUAGUGCUAAUAUCAUUAUAUACUGACGGUACCACUGAAGGAAGCACCGGCUAACUCCGUGCCAGCAGCCGCGGUAAUACGGGGGGUGCAAGCGUUAUUCGGAAUCAUUGGGCGUAAAGAGCACGUAGGCGGCCUGGUAAGUCAGAUGUGAAAGCCCGGGGCUUAACCCCGGAAGUGCAUUUGAUACUGCCAGGCUUGAGUAUGGGAGAGGGAAGUGGAAUUCCUGGUGUAGAGGUGAAAUUCGUAGAUAUCAGGAGGAACACCGGUGGCGAAGGCGACUUCCUGGACCAAUACUGACGCUGAGGUGCGAAGGCGUGGGUAGCAAACAGGAUUAGAUACCCUGGUAGUCCACGCAGUAAACGUU
rnacentral:rRNA from 1 species